rnacentral:rRNA from 1 species
UACGUAGGGGCCGAGCGUUGUCCGGAGUUACUGGGCGUAAAGCGCGCGCAGGCGGCUCGUCAAGCCUGACGUGAAAGCCCCCGGCUCAACCGGGGAGGGUCGUCGGGGACUGGCGGGCUUGAGGUCGGCAGGGGUUGGUGGAAUUCCCGGUGUAGUGGUGAAAUGCGUAGAGAUCCGGAAGAACACCGGUGGCGAAGGCGGUCUGCUGGGCAGUAGCUGACGCUGAGGCGCGACAGCGUGGGGAGCAAACAGG